rnacentral:rRNA from 1 species
GUGUCAGCAGCCGCGGUAAUACGUAGGGUGCGAGCGUUAAUCGGAAUUACUGGGCGUAAAGCGUGCGUAGGCGGUUUCAUAAGCUUGAUGUGAAAGCCCCGGGCUCAACCUGGGAAUGGCAUUGAGGACUGUGGAGCUAGAGUGCGGCAGAGGGAGGUGGAAUUCCACGUGUAGCAGUGAAAUGCGUAGAGAUGUGGAGGAACACCGAUGGCGAAGGCAGCCUCCUGGGCCGACACUGACGCUGAGGGCACGAAAGCGUGGGGAGCAAACAGGAUUAGAUACCCUGGUAGUCC